GACGAACGCUGGCGGCGUGCCUAACACAUGCAAGUCGAACGGAGUGGCGAACGGGUGAGUAACACGUGGGUGAUCUGCGUUGCACUUCGGGACAAGCUUGGGUAACUGGGUCUAAUACCGGAUAGUGCAAGAUGAGCUGGCGGCCUAUCGGCUUGUUGGGGGGGUAAUGGCCUACUAAGGCGUCGACGGGUAGCCGGCCUGGGAGGGUGUACGGCCACAUUGGUACUAAGAUACGGCCCAGACUCGUACGGGAGGCAGCGGACGGGAAUAUUGCACAAUGAGGGGAAGCCUGAUGCAGCGUCGCCGCGUGGGGAAUGAAGGCCUUCGGGUUGUAAACUCCUUUCGAAAGGAACGCGGUACCUGUAUAAGAAGCACCGGCUAACUACGUGCCAGCAGCCGCGGUAAUAC
rnacentral:rRNA from 1 species